rnacentral:rRNA from 1 species
AUUGAACGCUGGCGGCAGGCCUAACACAUGCAAGUCGAGCGGAUGAAGGGAGCUUGCUCCUGGAUUCAGCGGCGGACGGGUGAGUAACGCCUAGGAAUCUGCCUGGUAGUGGGGGACAACGUUGCGAAAGGAACGCUAAUACCGCAUACGUCCUACGGGAGAAAGCAGGGGACCUUCGGGCCUUGCGCUAUCAGAUGAGCCUAGGUCGGAUUAGCUAGUUGGUGAGGUAAUGGCUCACCAAGGCGACGAUCCGUAACUGGUCUGAGAGGAUGAUCAGUCACACUGGAACUGAGACACGGUCAAGACUCCUACGGGAGGCAGCAGUGGGGAAUAUUGGACAAUGGGCGAAAGCCUGAUCCAGCCAUGCCGCGUGUGUGAAGAAGGUCUUCGGAUUGUAAAGCACUUUAAGUUGGGAGGAAGGGUUGUAGAUUAAUACUCUGCAAUUUUGACGUUACCGACAGAAUAAGCACCGGCUAACUCUGUGCCAGCCGCCGCAGUAAAAC